rnacentral:lncRNA from 1 species
AUUUUGAUGUCUACAGUCAUCCUUGACAUUCAUUACUGCACAUCAAUUUAGUCAUUCCGUUACGAUUUCGUCAACUAUUAUGUUAGUUUGUAUGUGAGACCCACAAAUCUAAUGAAAUGGUGACCCAUAGAUUACACAAAAUAAGGGUUUUUAUUGCAAAUGGUCCCUGACAUUGAUCACUCCUCAUUUUGGUCCUUGAGUUUCAAAAAUCAAUAAAUUUGGUCUUUAACUUCCAAUACCGCACAUCAAUUUAAUCCUUCCGGUAAUGUUUCAUCAAUAUUUUUUGUCCCAUUAAUCCAAUCAUAUGGCACCACAUGGAUUAACUAUAAGAAACUUUUUUUUUUUAAGAUUUAAAACUAAAAGUAAAAUAAGAAACUAAAAGAAAAGAAAAAAGUCAUUGUCAUCUUUAUCAGGGUAUGCUCAAAAGGAAAACAAAGGCAUCAUGACACCACUCAAGUACUUGGCCUCCUGAACUGACUCAUCAUUCUCUCUAGUUGAUUAUAAUCCUAAGUCCUAUCAAAUUUGAAUUGAACUUGGAUUCGAUUUUAUCGAAUUUAGAUUGAAUUUUUCUUUUUCCAUGCCGGAUGCAAGAAAAAUGCCAGCGCGGAAUACUCUUCGUUUGGUUCACUCUUAAAAAAAUAGUUUCUUAUAGUUAAUCCACGUUGAGCCAUAUAAUUGGAUUAGUGGGACCACAUUAAAGGAGGAAAUAAAUUGAUGCGCGGUAGUGAAAGUCAAGGAACAAAUUUAUCGAUUUUUGAAACUUAGGGACCAAAAUGAGGAGUUGGAUCAAUGCCAGGGACCAUUUGUGAUAAAAACCCUUAUUUUGUGUAUUCCAAGUGUCACCAUUUUAUUGGAUUUGUGGGUCUCACAACCAAACUAACAUAAUAGUUGAUGGAAUCUUAACGGAAUGACUAAAUUGAUGUGAGGUAAUGAAUAUUAGGGAUGACAUUGUUCUUAUCAAUCUAAGGGGCCAUUUAUCAUUAGAGAAAGAAAAAAAAGAAAAAAAAAAGGGAAAGUGUUGUGACAUAUGUUCUUAUCAAUAUGUGAUUGUGUAAAUCCUAGGUAGAGAUAAAGUAGGAAUCCUUUGGGAUCUAGAAAAUCUUUCCUAAUAUAAUUUGUAUUACUUGGAGAGCAAGUUUCUCUCCUCCUAAUUACUAUAAAUAAAGGCACAAGGACUAGGGAAUUAAUACACAAUUCCUCAAGUAUAUUCUCAAUCUCUCUCUUCCCUUUACCGCAACACUCUACUAAAUAUAGGCCAUAACACGUUAUCAGCAUGCUCUUCAUGUUGUGCUAAACAGAAUUUAUUUGUCUUCAAUCAAGGGAGUAUUACGUUUCAAUUAUUUUAAUUGAUUCAAUUUUGAUUUUAUUGAAUUCAUAUACUUUUAUUAAUUCAAUUUAUUUUUCUUCUUAUGUUGAACGUGAUACAAGCUUGAAGAUGAAAGCCGAAAUUGAAGAAAGACUCUUACAAACCCGUUCACAAUAUUCAUCACGCUGGGGUGCCUGAACGAAACCCAAAAAUUUGGGCCUUGGGCUCGAGUCA